GCCCUAGUAGCCCAGUAUUUAAGGCAUCGGUCUUGUAAACCGAAGAGCAGAGGUGAAAUUCCUCUCUAGAGCA
rnacentral:tRNA from 2 species